rnacentral:rRNA from 1 species
CCGCGUUUCCGGAUCUUGGGUUUAAGGGUCCGUAGGCGGUUUAAUAAGUCAGUGGUGAAAGCCCAUCGCUCAACGGUGGAACGGCCAUUGAUACUGUUAGACUUGAAUUAUUAGGAAGUAACUAGAAUAUGUAGUGUAGCGGUGAAAUGCUUAGAGAUUACAUGGAAUACCAAUUGCGAAGGCAGGUUACUACUAAUUGAUUGACGCUGAUGGACGAAAGCGUGGGUAGCGAACAGGAUUAGAUACCCUGGUAGUCCACGCCGUAAACGAUGGAUACUAGCUGUUGGGAGCAAUCUCAGUGGCUAAGCGAAAGUGAUAAGUAUCCCACCUGGGGAGUACGUUCGCAAGAAUGAAACUCAAAGGAAUUGACGGGGGCCCGCACAAGCGGUGGAGCAUGUGNUUUAAUUCGAUGAUACGCGAGGAACCUUACCAAGGCUUAAAUGUAGAUUGACCGUUUUGGAAACAGAACUUUCGCAAGACAAUUUACAAGGUGCUGCAUGGUUGUCGUCAGCUCGUGCCG